UGGGGAAUAUUGCACAAUGGGGGAAACCCUGAUGCAGCGACGCCGCGUGAACGAAGAAGGUAUUCGUAUCGUAAAGUUCUGUCCUAUGGGAAGAUAAUGACAGUACCAUAGAAGAAAGCUCCGGCUAAAUCCGUGCCAGCAGCCGCGGUAAUACGUAUGGAGCGAGCGUUGUCCGGAAUUAUUGGGCGUAAAGGGUACGCAGGCGGUUUAAUAAGUCGAAUGUUAAAGAUCGGGGCUCAACCCCGUAAAGCAUUGGAAACUGAUAAACUUGAGUAGUGGAGAGGAAAGUGGAAUUCCUAGUGUAGUGGUGAAAUACGUAGAUAUUAGGAGGAAUACCAGUAGCGAAGGCGACUUUCUGGACACAAACUGACGCUGAGGUACGAAAGCGUGGGGAGCAAACAGG
rnacentral:rRNA from 1 species